rnacentral:rRNA from 1 species
GUCGAGAAUCUUUCACAAUGGGGGCAACCCUGAUGGAGCGACGCCGCGUGGAGGAUAAGGUCUUCGGAUUGUAAACUCCUGUCAUGCGUGAACAAGGUUGCUUGGUUAAUACCUGGGCAAAUUGAUGGUAACGCAAGAGGAAGAGACGGCUAACUCUGUGCCAGCAGCCGCGGUAAUACAGAGGUCUCAAGCGUUGUUCGGAAUCACUGGGCGUAAAGGGUGCGUAGGUGGCGUGGUAAGUCAGAUGUGAAAGCCCGGGGCUCAACCUCGGAACUGCAUCCGAUACUGCCAUGCUAGAGUACUGGAGAGGUGACUAGAAUUCUCGGUGUAGCAGUGAAAUGCGUAGAUAUCGAGAGGAAUACCAAAGGCGUAGGCAGGUCACUGGACAGUUACUGACACUGAGGCACGAAGGCCAGGGGAGCGAACGGGAUUAGAUACUCUGGUAGUCC